rnacentral:ncRNA from 2 species
GGACGAAACUCUGGAGAGACUCUUAAAUGAGCACCGAAGGAGCAAGUUGAAAUAUUUCAAUGAAACUCUCAGGUAAAAGGACAGAGAAUAGAAC